GCACAAGCGGUGGAGCAUGUGGUUCAAUUCGACGCAACGCGAAGAACCUUACCAGCUCUUGACAUGCCCGGUAUGGGGUCGAGAAAUCGGCUCCUUCAGUUCGGCUGGCCGGUGCACAGGUGCUGCAUGGCUGUCGUCAGCUCGUGUCGUGAGAUGUUGGGUUAAGUCCCGCAACGAGCGCAACCCUCACCUUCAGUUGCCAUCAGGUUAAGCUGGGCACUCUGAAGGAACUGCCGGUGACAAGCCGGAGGAAGGCGGGGAUGACGUCAAGUCCUCAUGGCCUUUAUGGGCUGGGCUACACACGUGCUACAAUGGCGGUGACAGUGGGAUGCGAAGGGGCAACCCUUGGCCAAUCUCAAAAAGCCGUCUCAGUUCGGAUUGUCCUCUGCAACUCGAGGGCAUGAAGCUGGAAUCGCUAGUAAUCGCGGAUCAGCACGCCGCGGUGAAUACGUUCCCGGGC
rnacentral:rRNA from 1 species